ACGAACGCUGGCGGCAUGCCUAACACAUGCAAGUCGAACGCAGUAGCAAUACUGAGUGGCGGACGGGUGAGGAACACGUGGGAACAUGCCGAAUGGUGGGGGAUAACUGCGGGAAACUGCAGCUAAUACCGCAUAAGCCCUAAGGGGGAAAGAUUUAUCGCCAUUCGAUUGGCCCGCGGCAGAUUAGGUAGUUGGUGGGGUAAAGGCCUACCAAGCCGAUGAUCUGUAACUGGUCUGAGAGGAUGACCAGUCACACUGGGACUGAGACACGGCCCAGACUCCUACGGGAGGCAGCAGUGGGGAAUAUUGGACAAUGGGGGAAACCCUGAUCCAGCGAUGCCGCGUGAGUGAAGAAGGCCUUCGGGUUGUAAAGCUCUUUUGCCUGUGACGAUGAUGACAGUAACAGGAGAAUAAGCCCCGGCUAACUCCGU
rnacentral:rRNA from 1 species